rnacentral:tRNA from 1 species
GGCUCGUUGGUCUAGGGGUAUGAUUCUCGCUUUGGGUGCGAGAGGUCUCGAGUUCAAAUCCCGGACGAGCCC